rnacentral:lncRNA from 1 species
CUUUCUUUCUUGCUUUUAUUAUCUCCAAGGCUUCUGUCAUCAUGGCCUGCGACUUGUUCUGUAGCGGUCUUAUUAUUUUCGUUUCAUCCCAGUGGAUGCGUGUAUCUUUCGUGUAUGCUUCCGCGGCCGGUGCUGUGGUAACGUUGGCUUUCUCAAUGUCUAUCUUGUGUUCACGUGAUCUUUCUGCUGGGGUUCUGCGGGUGGCGCCUGUGUGGGCCGUGUUCUCGCCAGUUUCUGCUGCGUUGACUGGUGUUCUGUGGACUCCCGAAUUCUCAUCAUGUGCUCUUCUCUGUUUCUCGUUCCUU